GUCGCUGUAAAUCCAGCGACCAGGUUUGGUCACCUGCCGAAAUCAAGGCGCACAAGCGCCCCAUCCGAUUCAGCCGGCGCUUUUUUU
rnacentral:sRNA from 1 species